rnacentral:ncRNA from 1 species
CAACCCCCACUCAUAUGGGACUACCCCCUGAAUUUAAACAUAUUAAUUAGGGGAAGAAAAAAAACUAACAAGGAUUUUCCUAAUAACCGCCAACCAAAAGAAAUCCAUUCAACAAUAAGUCACUUUGUCUAUAUGGCAAAAGGGAAAUGCAAUGGAAGGAACCUCCAUAAUCCAAUAUGAAAAAUUAAACAAUUAAAUCCUUCCUUAAUGAAGCCCUUUACCCCUAAAAGGUGGCAGGCCCCCAUAACAUUAAUGAAUACCAAAAGAAGGUUCCCAAAAAUCUCGGUGCUUGAAAGUGCACCACUAAAUGGGUGGAUACUCUCAUCCAAAACCAAUUUAACCAUGAGAACCAAAAAAAAAAAA